AUUGAACGCUGGCGGCAGGCCUAACACAUGCAAGUCGAGCGAGCGGCGGACGGGUGAGUAAUGUCUGGGACACUGCCUGAUGGAGGGGGAUAACUACUGGAAACGGUAUCUAAUACCGCAUACCAUCAGAUGUGCCCAGAUGGGAUUAGCUCGUAGGUGGGGGAAUGGCUCACCUAGGCGCCGAUCCCUAGCUGGUCUGAGAGGAUGACCAGCCAACCUGGAACUGAGACACGGUCCAGACGCCUACGGGAGGCAGCAGUGGGGAAUAUUGCACAAUGGGCGAAAGCCUGAUGCAGCCAUGCCGCGUGUGUGAAGAAGGCCUUCGGGUUUUAAAGCACUUUCAGCGGGGAGGCGUUACCCGCAGAAGAAGCACCGGCUAACUCCGUGCCAGCCGCCGCGGUAAUUC
rnacentral:rRNA from 1 species